GCCUCUGUGAAGCCUGAACUCCAGUAGGGCCCAAGCCAGCCAGCCAGGAAGGAGGAGGCAGCCAGAGUGGCCACCACUGGUCUCUGCAGCAGAAGACCCCUUGCUGCCAGGGUGGAUUCACACAAAUCUGACAGGAUCUUGCGUCACUUAAGAAGUUCAUCAGCUGCACAGAAAUAGCAUGCAACAUUGAUUCUAUGUAUAGGGCUGGUUCACAAAAUCAUUAGGAGAGCUGCAUCCAAGAUGGAAUGUGAGGCAGAUCAGACAAUCGAGCUCAGGAGUUGCAAAACCCCUUGCCCCAGUGACUGCACAAGAACAGCUGGCCAAGGAGCAGGAAGACUACAAGUGGAAACCUCAAGCAGCUUCCACAAACGUGGUGACUGUACAAGUAUGGAUAUGUGGAGAGCAUGGGUCUAGUGAAGUGCCUUGACUGCAAUUCAGUCCAUAUUUACUGCAUCUCUGCAGAGCAUUGAGAGUGUAUGGAUAAGUGGUGUGGAUAAUGUGAACUGAGUUGCAAGCUGUGUAUGUGGGAGGGAAGCUAUUCCUCCUUGUGAAUGGACAUCAUGCUUUCACUAAUGGCUGUUGUAAGCAAUGCAACAAUGACGGACUGAUUGAGACCAGAGUCAGACAACAGUUCCAGAAAAUGGAAGGCUUGAAAGAGUGAUCGCUGCUUAUGGCAAGUAGACUCAUUCCACUAACUAUUUCUGCUAAACAGUUUUUUGUGACUGUUUGAAAGCUGUAUGACUUGUAUGACCAAAAACUUGUAUGACCAAUAGGACAAUAUUAUUAAUAGUAAUAUUAUUAAUAUUAUUAUUAUUAAUAAUAUUUAUAUUUAUAAACAACUUUUCAUUAAAAAAGUUCUUAGA